GGGGGGGGCAGGUGCCCAGCCUCCCUCGCCACCCCCAGAUCUCUCCUGGAAAACGGGAUUUUGCAGCCUCCCCUGGUUGCCCCCAAACCCGCUGGACUGAGCCGGGCCGGGACCUGCCGGCGGGAGGGGGGCCGGGUCCCGUCCCGGCUGCUCGGGUUUGUUUNCCCCCCCCAGCCAGCUCUGCGGCGACCCCUGGUGGGGAGCGCGGGUCCCUGCGCCCCGGAGGGGGCGGCCGCGGUCCCCCUGCCUGGGUCCCUCCCGCUGCCCCCCUGACCGCCCCGUCCCUUGCCCGCAGAGCUCACCGAGCGCCAUGGCCAGAGCACCGCAGGAGGGGAGCCGCGCUCAGCCGACAGCCGCCCUGCCCGGGGACCCAGCCUUCCUGCUGGGGGGGGCGGUGGCCGUGCCGCCCGCCGUCUGCCCGGGCAGCCUCGCCCUGCCACCCCGGCUGAACUGCAGCCUGUGCCCCAACGGCCCCGCUCCCUGCUCGCUCUACCGCUGUGUCCGGGGGCCGGAGCCCCCCCGGCGCUGGGACGCCCCCGAGGCUGGCAGGACACAUGUGGCAGGAGCGGCAGUGGCAGGGAGCGCUCUGGGCCCGUUUCUGCCACUUCGUCUCUCAGCUGCUGGGCGCCUUCUACAACAUGCCCAUGGACGUGAUGCCGGAGCUGCAGCCCAACUAGCUCCUUGUGGGGCUGGAGCCGGGGGGGAGGCCCCCCCGCCGUGGACUGCGGAGCCGCUUGGCAAAAUGUAGCAACUUCCAGAGCUCAUAGCACCCCCACCACCCCGGCAAGCCAUGGCCCCUGCAGGCUGGGCCCCAGGCUGCUGCCCCCCCGGGCACCCACUGUCUAUUUAUUUAUUUAUUUUCGAGUACUGACUGGGAGCCCCACAGUGCAGGGCCCCAUGGCGGGGAGCGGCCCCCGCAGGCUCCCCCCACUGUUCCUCAGGGAGCGCCACGCAAUUGUGACGGGGGGCGGACAUGCAUGUGACGGCCACAGGCAUUGCCUCUGCCUCACCCCCGACUCCCCUCAGGACAGCGGGAAGAGCUGGGCUCCGGCAGUGGCAGGGAGGGCAAACUCUGAAGUGGGCUCAGCCAGCCGUCCUGCUGCUUCCUCCCCAUGCCAUGGGCAGCCUGAGGAGUGGGGGGGACCCCGCCUGUCCCGUUGCCUCCCCACGCACAGCUUGCUGCUGUGGCUCCGGGCAUGGCCAGCCCUGAGCCCGGCGCUGCGCCCAGAGCAGGGGGGGCCUUGGCAGGGGCGGCAGGAGCACUGUAAAUACUGUACAUAGUGACACUGUACAGGGAGAGGCGUUGUAUAUACAGACCGGUACCGGGCCGUGCUGUACAUAGGGGGACACUGUACAUACAGGGACACGCUUGCUGUACAUGAGCAGUGACUUUGGUUUUCUACGUUUCCUUUUCAAUAAAACUGGAUUUAAGCAAAGAGGCCUCUGUGUC
rnacentral:lncRNA from 1 species